UAACGCGUAGGUAACCUGCCUUGUAGCGGGGGAUAACUAUUGGAAACGAUAGCUAAUACCGCAUAACAAUGGAUGACUCAUGUCAUUUAUUUGAAAGGGGCAAAUGCUCCACUACAAGAUGGACCUGCGUUGUAUUAGCUAGUAGGUGAGGUAACGGCUCACCUAGGCGACGAUACAUAGCCGACCUGAGAGGGUGAUCGGCCACACUGGGACUGAGACACGGCCCAG
rnacentral:rRNA from 1 species